ensembl:lncRNA
AGGAGGCAACCUAUGGAAGAAACCUGGAGAGGAAUCGUGCUCAAAGGGGAUGGCAGUUCUCUUCUGGCUGGGCCGAGUGGGGAGUUAAGAGUACAUGUGGCCAUUCAUUCCAGAAGUUUGAACGUUCAUAGAUCACCAGCAGGGUCAUAUAAUAACCAUGGUGGCUAUAGAGAGGGCAACAGUUCAACAACUCGGGAGUCAAUGUCAGUUGGCUUUUCAUGACCAGGUGUUCUGAGAUGAGAGAGAGUGGCCGGUGAAUCGGGGUCAGGGGUCAACAGCAGCAGUCAGGACCACAGAACAAACUGGAUCAGUACGACCAGGUGGACGGGACAGGAACAGCCAGGAGUCGUCAGGCCAGGUAGUCCUGAGGCAUGGUCCUCCAGGACGGGAGACAUAGAGAGAUGGAGGAGAAUUAGAGAAUGGAAUGCUACUAAAUACAUGGAAACAAUACUAUGAGCCUGUCCUCCUAUAGCAGCCUCCUCUGAUAGAGAGAGCAUGCCUAAGAACACACAGUACAUCAGAUAAGGCAAGACAGACUGAUGAUAGUCGCAAGACACUGUGACCCCGUCCAAUGUUACACCUGAAUGGGGCCAAUCAGGCAGGAUAUAACCCCACCCACUUUGCCGAAGCACAGCCCCCACACCCCUGUACACACCGAUUUAACAUUUUCAAGUAGUUCUUGUUUGCCCAGUUAGUAGAGCAUGGUGCUUGCAAUGCCAUGGUUGUGGAUUCAAUUCUCAUGGUGGACCAGUACGAAAAAAAACUAUGAAAACGGAUGCACUUGGUACUAUAAAUCAGUCUGGACAAGUGUCUGCUAAAUGACUAAAAUGUGAAAUAAAACAUCUGCGACGCACAACUCUACUAAUCAACCCACCACAUGGCUAAUAAAGAACUGUUAUUUGAUGUCCUACUCCCCCCCCAAAUGGUAGGGAACACAGGGGAACACAGCACCAGAUAUGUAAUACAUCCGAUCUACCUGGCAGGCACAUACGUCAAAAUGUUAAGACUUCAUUUGUACGGACCAACAGUUGCCCAAAGGAGACACUAAUUCAACUGACUGCGUAAAAGACCCAGAGGUGAUAGACUGACAUUCACGUGGAGAUGAAGAUGUGGGGACAUUUUCUCUACUUGCGUGAGACGGAUUGGGAUAGUAGUGUUAAAUAUCACAACAUACACACUUCCUGCAACAUUCUUGGGGCCCUUGACACUGCUCUGGCAAUGCUACUCAAGCGUUGCCCACCCCUGGGAGAAGACAGCAGUGUCCCAGUCCUGCUGUCACUGCCAUGCAGGGAGGGGGCUUUCUUCUGUUUGUUUUUCCAGAGUUAAGACCAACAGUUCCUUAUUGAGCACUGUGAAUGACACCAGAGAGAGUCAACAUACCACCUGUAAGUAGUAAAUACACCCCCCCCAUGAAAAAUAUUGCAGUUAGAGUGCAGUAUAACUGCACUAUGCUGCAAAUACUGCAUUCAAAAUAAAUAAAAUACUGCAGUAAUUGUGCAGUGUAACUGCAGUUAAGAGUGCAGUAGAACUGCAGUUAUUCUGCAAUUACUGUGUUAAAAAUACCACAGUCAACUGCAGUUACUGCACUUUUACUGCAGUUUCAAAACUGCAAUCAUUUUUUGGAAGGGCUUUGUUGAUGGCAACGAGCCCUUCCUGGCUGUGAAGAUGGGAUGGGACUCUGUUCAGGAAACGUGUUAAAGACCCACUGGGUAAAAACGGGUUGUAUCAACGUAUCAACCUACCAAAAAAUAAAUAAAAAAAGUGAAAACCGAUUGGAUUUGCAAAAAGUAAUCACUGUAAAGGGAAUUUCCUCCUAACUUAUAACAUAAAUCCAAUAACAUGGUGACAUGCUUUGUUGAUUUCAUGUGGAAUUCACAUUAGUUUACAACUCAACCAAAUGUAAAUCAAAACUAAACAUUGAACUGAUGUCUUUACCCAGUGCCUUUUAAGAAAAAAGAUUGCAGUCAGAAUGCAAUACAAUGCAGUAUAACUGCAGUUAAAGUGCAGUCUACCUGCAGUAUGCUGCAAAUACUGCAUCCAAAAUAUCACCGUUUUUUUUACUGCAGUAAUUUUGCAGUGUAACUUCAGUUACAGUGCAGUAGAACUGCAGUUAUUCUCCAAUUACUCUAUCCAAAAUACCUCAGUCGACUGCAGUUACUGCAGUUUCAUAACUGC